GGAUUAGAUACCCUGGUAGUCCACGCCGUAAACGAUGUCUACUAGCCGUUGGGGUACUUGAUACCUUAGUGGCGCAGCUAACGCGAUAAGUAGACCGCCUGGGGAGUACGGCCGCAAGGUUAAAACUCAAAUGAAUUGACGGGGGCCCGCACAAGCGGUGGAGCAUGUGGUUUAAUUCGACGCAACGCGAAGAACCUUACCUGGCCUUGACAUCCUGCGAACUUUCUAGAGAUAGAUUGGUGCCUUCGGGAACGCAGAGACAGGUGCUGCAUGGCUGUCGUCAGCUCGUGCCG
rnacentral:rRNA from 1 species